UAAUUUAAUUAAUUAAUAUGUAAUUGGUGAUUUAAGAAAUAGGAAAAAAAUUCAGAUUUUUCUUUAUAAAUUGUUGAUUAGUCCUAAUUUGACUGAGUCUCUCCCUAAUCUCGUACUUUUAAGACAAUACUUCCUCACGUUUCUCUCUCUCUCUUUCUCUGAUUCACGAUCUCUCAAUCACCAAAAGAAAAAAAACAGAACGUGAAUGAUAAAGUUAAUCAAGAACAUGCAAGCUAUAAACUGAAAAUCAAAAUAAUAUGAAAAAUGAAAAGUAAAAAAUCAAUUUCUCGAAGAUUUUGCUUUUUGUUUCGAUAAUGAAACUUUUGCUUGGUGGGAAAUAGGCAGCACGAUUGAAUCAUCUUUUGAACAACUUCAGGUUCCUACCUUUGAGCUUUUAGAGGGCCAUCGAAGAAUACUUUGAUUUAUUCUCCAUGUUCAGUAGCUCUUCACUUUUCGAGGACGAUGCCACUACGUCUCUAUUGGAUAUUGUUUAGUCUAAAAGUCACUUUUGUUCAUUCUCUUUAAUUUGAAGACUAAGCUUGUAUAUGCCUAUAUGUGGCUUUUAUUGUAAUGAAGUACUACAGGCUAUUACCAAUGUUGUAAUCAUUCUUGUUUUUAUUAUAUGAAGUAUCAUAGACUUUUUAUAAA